UACAGAGGUCUCAACCGUUGUUCGGAUUUAUUGGGCGUAAAGGGUGCGUAGGCGGCGGGGUAAGUCAGGUGUGAAAUCCCGGGGCUCAACCCCGGAACUGCAUUCGAUACUGCCUGGCUAGAGUACUGGAGAGGAGAUUGGAAUUUACGGUGUAGCAGUGAAAUGCGCAGAUAUCAGGAGGAACACCGGUGGCGAAGGCGGGUCUCUGGGCAACAACUGACGCUGAGGAGCGAAAGCGUGGGGAGCGAACAGG
rnacentral:rRNA from 1 species